UACGAACUGUGCGAACGUUAUUCGGAAUCACUGGGCUUACAGGGUGCGUAGGCGGCCUUUCAAGUCAGGUGUGAAAUCCCCCAGCUCAACUGGGGAACUGCGCUUGAAACUGGAGGGCUGGAGUCAGCUAGAGGUGCACGGAACUUCCGGUGGAGCGGUGAAAUGUGUUGAUAUCGGAAGGAACACCAGAGGCGAAAGCGGUGCACUGGGGCUGAACUGACGCUGAGGCACGAAAGCCAGGGGAGCGAACGGG
rnacentral:rRNA from 1 species